rnacentral:lncRNA from 1 species
CCACAUACAUAAGAAGUUAGUGGGUCUCCCACUUAUCUUCUCGCACACACACAGUUCAUCCAUAUUUGAUAAAGUCAAAUAUUUUGACUAUUUUAUCAAAAAUAAAAAUAUCAACUCCUCAAUCCUGCUUUAAUCCAUAAAUGCAUUUGUCCUCCCACUAAAGAUAAACUCUGUAGAUGGUGUGUGGCAAUAGCAAGCACAAAUCUAAAUUGACAUUCUUAUUAGCAACCUGUUGGGUCACACCCAUAGGUGCUUCAACCAUAGUCCAUAUUUGAUUGAUGUACAGGGAGUUCAUUUUGGAUUCCAUGAUUUUAAGCCAUCUG